rnacentral:rRNA from 1 species
UACGGGGGGGGGCAAGCGUUGUUCGGAAUUACUGGGCGUAAAGGGUGCGUAGGCGGUUCGCUAAGUCGGAUGUGAAAACUCUGGGCUCAACCCAGAGCCUGCAUCCAAAACUGGCGGGCUAGAGUUCUGGAGGGGGUAGCGGAAUUCCUGGUGUAGCGGUGAAAUGCGCGGAUAUCAGGAGGAACACCGAUGGCGAAGGCAGGUCUCUGGGCCACUACUGACGCUGAGAAGCGAAAGCAUGGGGAGCGAACAGG